UGCCAGCAGCCGCGGUAAUACGGAGGGGGCUAGCGUUGUUCGGAAUUACUGGGCGUAAAGCGCACGUAGGCGGACUGGAAAGUAUGGGGUGAAAUCCCAGGGCUCAACCCUGGAACUGCCUCAUAAACUAUCAGUCUAGAGUACGGGAGAGGAAAGUGGAAUUCCGAGUGUAGGGGUGAAAUCCGUAGAUAUUCGGAGGAACACCAGUGGCGAAGGCGGCUAACUGGACCGGAACUGACGCUGAGGCGCGAAAGCGUGGGUAGCAAACAGGAUUAGAUA
rnacentral:rRNA from 1 species